UACGAAGGGGGCAAGCGUUGUUCGGAAUUACUGGGCGUAAAGGGCGCGUAGGCGGUGCAUUAAGUCAGGCGUGAAAGCCCUGGGCUCAACCCGGGAAUUGCGCUUGAUACUGGUGCGCUUGAAUCCAGGAGAGGUUGGUGGAAUUCCCAGUGUAGAGGUGAAAUUCGUAGAGAUUGGGGAAGAACACCGGUGGCGAAGGCGGCCAACUGGACUGGUAUU
rnacentral:rRNA from 1 species